rnacentral:rRNA from 1 species
UACGUAGGGUGCAAGCGUUGUCCGGAAUUAUUGGGCGUAAAGAGCUCGUAGGCGGUGUGUCGCGUCUGCUGUGAAAACUCAGGGCUCAACUCUGAGCUUGCAGUGGGUACGGGCACACUUGAGUGCGGUAGGGGGAGACUGGAAUUCCUGGUGUAGCGGUGAAAUGCGCAGAUAUCAGGAGGAACACCGGUGGCGAAGGCGGGUCUCUGGGCCGUAACUGGACGCUGAGGAGCGAAAGCAUGGGGAGCGAACAGG